UUGAACGCUGGCGGCAGGCCUAACACCUGCAAGUCGAGCGGAUGAAGGGAGCUUGCUCCUGGAUUCAGCGGCGGACGGGUGAGUAAUGCCUAGGAAUCUGCCUGGUAGUGGGGGAUAACGUCCGGAAACGGGCGCUAAUACCGCAUACGUCCUGAGGGAGAAAGUGGGGGAUCUUCGGGCCUCACGCUAUCAGAUGAGCCUAGGUCGGAUUAGCUAGUUGGUGGGGUAAAGGCCUACCAAGGCGACGAUCCGUAACUGGUCUGAGAGGAUGAUCAGUCACACUGGAACUGAGACACGGUCCAGACUCCUACGGGAGGCAGCAGUGGGGAAUAUUGGACAAUGGGCGAAAGCCUGAUCCAGCCAUGCCGCGUGUGUGAAGAAGGUCUUCGGAUUGUAAAGCACUUUAAGUUGGGAGGAAGGGCAGUAAGUUAAUACCUUGCUGUUUUGACGUUACCAACAGAAUAAGCACCGGCUAACUUCGUG
rnacentral:rRNA from 1 species